rnacentral:rRNA from 1 species
GAUGAACGCUGGCGGCGUGCCUAAUACAUGCAAGUCGAGCGAACAGACGAGGAGCUUGCUCCUCUGACGUUAGCGGCGGACGGGUGAGUAACACGUGGAUAACCUACCUAUAAGACUGGGAUAACUUCGGGAAACCGGAGCUAAUACCGGAUAAUAUAUUGAACCGCAUGGUUCAAUAGUGAAAGACGGUUUUGCUGUCACUUAUAGCUGGAUCCGCGCCGCAUUAGCUAGUUGGUAAGGUAACGGCUUACCAAGGCAACGAUGCGUAGCCGACCUGAGAGGGUGAUCGGCCACACUGGAACUGAGACACGGUCCAGACGCCUACGGGAGGCAGCAGUAGGGAAUCUUCCGCAAUGGGCGAAAGCCUGACGGAGCAACGCCGCGUGAGUGAUGAAGGUCUUCGGAUCGUAAAACUCUGUUAUUAGGGAAGAACAAAUGUGUAAGUAACUAUGCACGUCUUGACGGUACCUAAUCAGAAAGCCACGGCUAACUACGUG